UUUAGAUUUUUUACCCUUUUAAAGCAGAAAAAGAAUGUAAUUAUGAAUAAAGUUUCGUUUUUGGUACUUCCCUAAUCAUGUGAUACAAAUGGCUUCAAGAAUUCAGAGUGCAGGGUAUAGCCGAAAUGGAAAAGCGUAUGUACACGACUUUCUUGAUGUUAACGGCGACCAGUUCUCAUAGUGGAUGCUUCUAAGCAUCUUUCUGCUAUGAAGUUUUGUAUGGUACUUUGGUCACUGAACAAAAAGUGCCACAGGUGCAUGGUCCCGCUGAUAAAGAGAAGCUCUACGUGCCCUUCCAGAAAAGAGCAAAGAAAUACUAGGAAUCUUCAAUCUACGUUGGGUCCAGCGAAAGUAAUCUUGGUUUAGCAAAUUGGCAGCGAGAUUGCACACUUCUCACUCCAUUUUUGAAAACCUGCAGCACAACACGGGCACUCUUGCAAGUAAUAUCUAGAGCACAGCUGGUUGGGAUAAUGAUGGAAUAAUUAGGGAUUGGACAGCUGGCGACUUACAACUCCAUGCUAUCAGCACGGCAGCAGAGAGAGAUUAUGUGGAGGCUGUUCAUGCAAUAUCAUGACUCUUACUAAUAAACAUCGUUUUCAAAUUAAUUGCAUGAGGCAUAUUUGGAUGAGUCCUGCAUGUGAAGUGAUCAGCAGGUGAACAUUAAAUGGCAUAUGCCGUGUUUUUAUCCACUCGUGAUUUAAGUAGAUGAUGCUAUCAGAAAA